rnacentral:tRNA from 1 species
GGAGAGCUGGCAGAACGGCUAUUGCACCAGUCUUGAAAACUGGCGCCCUCACGGGCUUGUAGGUUCGAAUCCUACGCUCUCCG